rnacentral:lncRNA from 1 species
AGUCUUAACCUGAUAUGGUGUUGGUUUCAAUGAGUUUUGUGAAAUAAAAUGUUUAUGUUAUGAUGACUUACAUGUUUAAGUGUGUAUGAACGUUCUUGCAAUGAAUUGUAUGAUUGUUUGAGACCUAGCUCACCCUUGCAUUGUAUGUGUUGCAUGUGUUUGCCUUUCCCCUUGCGAUGAUCAUCCAAUCCUUUGGAUGUGAGCAGUAGGUGAUGAUGUACCAUUGGAGCAAGUGUUGGAGAUUGAAGAAGACCCAACCCUAAUACUUAGGACGUUUAUUAGUUCCUAUUUCAAUAGUUUGUUAUUUUUGGAAACACUCUCUAGGCAUCCUUGGAUCUUUAGUUUAUUAUGUAUUUUGGAGAACAUUGGGGAACUUGUACUCAAGUUUUAAUUUCCUUCUAAUUUCCACUAAAUUUUUGGAUGACUGUAUAAAUAUUUAAAUACUGUCAUCUUUAUCUCUUAACUGCUUUCACAUAUUGUAAUAGCUGAAUCCUAUUAUAUUAUAUGUGAAUAUGAUAUUUUGGGAUGUCACA